UGAGGAAUAUUGGGCAAUGCCCGCAAGGGUGACCCAGCAACGCCGCGUGGAGGAUGAAUGUCGUAAGAUUGUAAACUCCUGUUAGAGGGGAAGAAUAGUACCGGUUGGACCGGUAUAUGACUGUACCCUCAGAGAAAGCCCCGGCUAACUACGUGCCAGCAGCCGCGGUAAUACGUAGGAGGCAAGCGUUGUCCGGAUUUACUGGGUGUGAAGGGCGCGCAGGCGGGAUAAAAAGUCAGUGGUGAAAUCCUACAGCUUAACUGUAGAACUGCCUUUGAUACUUUUAUUCUUGAGUUCGGGAGAGAGAGACGGAAUUCCAGGUGUAGUGGUGAAAUACGUAGAUAUCUGGAAGAACACCAGUUGCGAAGGCGGUCUCUUGGUCCGACACUGACGCUGAGGCGCGAAAGCGUGGGGAGCAAACA
rnacentral:rRNA from 1 species